CAAAUUCUAGUCUUAUCGGUGGAUCACUCGGCUCGUGGAUCGAUGAAGAACACAGCCAACUGCGAUAAUUAGUGUGAACUGCAGAAACCUUGAACACAGAACUUUCGAAUGCACAUUGCGCCAUUGGAGUGACAUCCAUUGGCACGCCUGGUUCAGGGUCGUAA
rnacentral:rRNA from 1 species